CCAAUAGCGUAUAUUAAAGUUGUUGCAGUUAAAAAGCUCGUAGUUGAAUUUCGGGAUUGACACAUCGGUCGUGCCUUAAGGGGUGUGAACUGGUGUAGUCAAUUUCUCACCUUCUGGAGAACCGCGAUGUCCUUAAUUGGGUGCCGCGAGGAACCAGGACCUUUACUUUGAAAAAAUUAGAGUGUUUAAAGCAGGCAUUUUUGCUUGAAUACAUUAGCAUGGAAUAAUAAAAUAGGACGGUAUGAUUCUAUUUUGUUGGUUUCUAGGAUCAACGUAAUGAUUAAUAGGGAUAGUUGGGGGCAUUAGUAUUCAAUUGUCAGAGGUGAAAUUAUUGGAUUUAUUGAAGACUAACUACUGCGAAAGCAUUUGCCAAGGAUGUUUUCAUUAAUCAAGAACGAAAGUUAGGGGAUCGAAGACGAUCAGAUACCGUCGUAGUCUUAACCAUAAACUAUGCCGACUAGGAAUCAGACGAUGUUAAUUUUUUAAUGACUCGUUUGGCACCUUACG
rnacentral:rRNA from 1 species